rnacentral:piRNA from 1 species
UUUAAUGCCAAGGUUUACGUCAUGAGUAG